CAGGCCCUCUGCUUGCCCCUCACGUCCGCGCCUUGCAGGCCGUCUGUGUCCCGAGUCCAAGGCCGCCCGCGGAGUUGGGUCACCAGCCACAUAAGCUGGAAGCACAAGGGCGUUUUUCUCUGCUGUUUCCUGUGGAAACCUGGUCAAGCUCCUAGAGUCACAAAAACUGGGGCACCAGACUGGGUAUGAGCUCCUUUUGGGGGUGACACCAAAUAUUACAGUCCCAUGAGACCAGGAAUGUAAGUUCCCCUGGCCUCCAGAGCCAGAU